rnacentral:rRNA from 1 species
CCUACGGGAGGCAGCAGUAGGGAAUAUUGCGCAAUGGGGGAAACCCUGACGCAGCAACGCCGCGUGGAGGAUGACACUUUUCGGAGCGUAAACUCCUUUUGUUAGGGAAGAAUAAUGACGGUACCUAACGAAUAAGCACCGGCUAACUCCGUGCCAGCAGCCGCGGUAAUACGGAGGGUGCAAGCGUUACUCGGAAUCACUGGGCGUAAAGGACGCGUAGGCGGAUUAUCAAGUCUCUUGUGAAAUCUAACGGCUUAACCGUUAAACUGCUUGGGAAACUGAUAAUCUAGAGUAAGGGAGAGGCAGAGGGAAUGCUUGGUGUAGGGGUAAAAUCCGUAGAUAUCAAGAAGAAUACCUAUUGCGAAGGCGAUCUGCGGGAACUUAACUGACGCUAAUGCGUGAAAGCGUGGGGAGCAAACAGGAUUAGAUACCCCUGUAGUC